AUUGAACGCUGGCGGCAGGCCUAACACAUGCAAGUCGAACGAGUGGCGGACGGGUGAGUAAUGUCUGGGAAACUGCCCGAUGGAGGGGGAUCACUACUGGAAACGGUGGCUAAUACCGCAUACUAUCGGAUGAACCCAUAUGGGAUUAGCUAGUAGGUGGGGUAAAGGCUCACCUAGGCGACGAUCUCUAGCUGGUCUGAGAGGAUGAUCAGCCACAAUGGGACUGAGACACGGCCCAGACUCCUACGGGAGGCAGCAGUGGGGAAUAUUGCACAAUGGGCGCAAGCCUGAUGCAGCCAUGCCGCGGGUAUGAAGAAGGCCUUAGGGUUGUAAAGCACUUUCAGCGAGGAGGCGUUACUCGCAGAAGAAGCACCGGCUAACUCCGUGCCAGCAGCCGCGGUAAUAC
rnacentral:rRNA from 1 species